CACGUAGGCACCAAGCGUUGUCCGGAUUUAUUGGGCGUAAAGAGCUCGUAGGCGGUUUGUCGCGUCUGCUGUGAAAUCCCGAGGCUCAACCUCGGGCCUGCAGUGGGUACGGGCAGACUUGAGUGGUGUAGGGGAGACUGGAAUUCCUGGUGUAGCGGUGGAAUGCGCAGAUAUCAGGAGGAACACCGAUGGCGAAGGCAGGUCUCUGGGCACUUACUGACGCUGAGGAGCGAAAGCGUGGGGAGCGAACAGG
rnacentral:rRNA from 1 species